rnacentral:rRNA from 1 species
CCCACUUCGGUGGGGAGUACAGUGGCGAAAGGGCGAGUAAUGCGUGGACGAUCUACCCUCAAGAUGGGGAUAACCACCCGAAAGGGUGACUAAUACCGGAUGUGGCGCGCGGAUCGCAUGUUUUGCGCGCUAAAGGUGGGGACCUUCGGGCCUUCCGCUUGGGGAGGAGUUCACGUUCUAUCAGCUAGUUGGUGGGGUAACGGCUCACCAAGGCAGCGACGGAUAGGCGGCCUGAGAGGGUGGUCGCCCGCACUGGGACUGAGACACUGCCCAGACUCCUACGGGAGGCUGCAGUCGAGAAUCAUUCUCAAUGAGCGAAAGCUUGAAGAUGCGACGCCGCGUGGGGGAUGAAGGCCUUAUAGGUUGUAAACCCUAGUCUCGAGUGAAGAAGUUCAUCUGCGAUAACAUCAAGGGUGAUUGACGUUAGCUCGAGAGAAGCACCGGCUAACUACGUGCCAGCAGCCGCGGUAAUACGUAGGGUGCAAGCGUUGUUCGGAAUCACUGGGCAUAAAGCGCAUGUAGGCGGCUCGCUAAGUCGAGUGUGAAAGCCCCUGGCUCAACCAGGGAACGGCAUUCGAAACUAGUGAGCUCGAGGGUGGUAGAGGAGAGUGGAACUCGUAGUGGAGCGGUGAAAUGCGUAGAUAUUACGAGGAACACCGGUGGCGAAAGCGACUCUCUGGACCAUACCUGACGCUGAGAUGCGAAAGCCAGGGGAGCAAACGGGAUUAGAUACCCCGGUAGUCCUGGCCCUAAACGAUGGGUACUAGGUAGAGGCGGCACCGACGUCGUCCCUGCCGGAGCCAAUGUUUUAAGUACCCCGCCUGGGGAGUACGGUCGCAAGAUUGAAACUCAAAGGAAUUGACGGGGGCUCGCACAAGCGGUGGAGUAUGUGGGUUUAAUUCGAAGCAACGCGAAGAACCUUACCCGGGUUGACAUACACGGAUUAG